AGGGUCCUGCGCUGUACGUGCUGACCGACAUAUUUUGAGCCAACAUGUUCACCUCGGGAGUCUGACGUUUCCGGCCGAUGGGCAGGCCUUGUACACAGAGGAAGUCCGGAAGCAGGAACAGGACACCCACCUGCCAACGCAGGUUCAAAGUGAGUGUGAUGUGCGGCAGAAUGGGAUCCUU
rnacentral:other from 1 species